GAUAUUAGAAAAAAUAGCUACGAUAUUACGCACUUCCAUCUUAGAUUUACACCAAAUUUGGUUGAUGAUUAUGAGAAGUGAGCUCCUUUCUCACUAGCUUGGCUUCUAACUGAAGUAGGCUAAAAAUUGACUUGCAUUGGAUUCUGGUACCCCCUAAAUAUUACGCACUUCCAUCUUAGAACAUUUAUUAUUUUUUUUGCAAGGAAUUAGAAAGACUAAUUGUGAUUUUUUUGUGUCUGAUAUUUUCAGUGGUUG
rnacentral:lncRNA from 1 species